ensembl:rRNA 5S_rRNA 5S ribosomal RNA
GCUUACGGCCAUACCACCCUGAGAACGCCCGAUCUCGUCUGAUCUCGGAAGCUAAGCAGGAUCGGGCCUGGUUAGUACUUGGAUGGGAGACCGCCUGGGAAUACCAGGUGCUGUAAGCU